CCUGACACCCGUAUCAGACUCAAAGCAACUUUCAAAGGAUCAUGGACCUAGGGGAUCAAAUCUAGUUUGUGUUAAGAGAAGAUGUUGGCUUGAUAAAGAAUCAGAUGAACCAACUAUGAAGAAGGACGACCCUAUAAUGAAUCAAGCGAGAAAGCUCAUCCUCAACAGUUGCAAUCAUUUGGCUACUGUCGUUUUUCAUUUGUAUUUCCUUUGCAAGUUUUAAUGUGUAUUU
rnacentral:lncRNA from 1 species